CAACCUGCCCCAGGCUUUGGGAUAACCCCGGGAAACCGGGGCUAAUACCGAAUAUGACCUUGCACCGCAUGGUGUUUGGUGGAAAGUUUUUCGGCUUGGGAUGGGCUCGCGGCCUAUCAGCUUGUUGGUGGGGUGAUGGCCUACCAAGGCGACGACGGGUAGCCGGCCUGAGAGGGCGACCGGCCACACUGGGACUGAGACACGGCCCAGACUCCUACGGGAGGCAGCAGUGGGGAAUAU
rnacentral:rRNA from 1 species